CCUACGGGUGGCUGCAGUGAGGAAUAUUGGUCAAUGGGCGCGAGCCUGAACCAGCCAAGUCGCGUGAAGGAAGACUGCCCUACGGGUUGUAAACCUCUUUUGUCAGGGAACAACGUCAGGCACGUGUGCCCGUAUGUAUGUACCUUAUGAAAAAGGAUCGGCUAACUCCGUGCCAGCAGCCGCAGUAAUACGGAGGAUUCGAGCGUUAUCCGGAUUUAUUGGGUUUAAAGGGAGCGUAGGCGGGUUGUUAAGUCAGUUGUGAAAGUUUGCGGCUCAACCGUAAAAUUGCAAUUGAUACUGGCAGCCUUGAGUACAGUAGAGGUAGGCGGAAUUCGUGGUGUAGCGGUGAAAUGCUUAGAUAUCACGAAGAACUCCGAUUGCGAAGGCAGCCUACUGGACUGCCACUGACACUGAGGCUCGAAAGUGUGGGUAUCAAACAGGAUUAGAUACCCCUGUAGUC
rnacentral:rRNA from 1 species